GUGAUUCUGGUUGAUCCUGCCAGUAGUCAUAUGCUUGUCUCAAAGACUAAGCCAUGCAUGUCUAAGUAUAAAUGUUAUACAGUGAAACUGCGAAUGGCUCAUUAAAACAGUUAUAGUUUAUUUGAUAAUCGAAUUUACAUGGAUAACCGUGGUAAUUCUAGAGCUAAUACAUGCUGGUUAGCCUGACUUUUGAGGAAGGGCUGUAUUUAUUAGAUAACAAACCAAUAUUCCUUGUGUCUAUUGUGAUGACUCAUAAUAACUGAUCGAAUCGCAUGGACUUUGUCCGCGAUAAAUCAUUCAAGUUUCUGCCCCAUCAGCUUUCGAUGGUAGUGUAUUGGACUACCAUGGCUUUAACGGGUAACGGAGGAUUAGGGUUCGAUUCCGGAGAGGGAGCCUGAGAAACGGCUACCACAUCUAAGGAAGGCAGCAGGCGCGUAAAUUACCCAAUCCUGACUCAGGGAGGUAGUGACAAGAAAUAACGGACCGAAGCCUAUGUUUCGGGAUUGCAAUGAGUUGAAUUUAAACCCCUUUACGAGGAUCAAUUGGAGGGCAAGUCUGGU
rnacentral:rRNA from 1 species